rnacentral:misc_RNA from 1 species
GAUGAAGAACGUAGUGAAAUGCGAUAAGUAGUGUGAAUUGCAGAAUUCAGUGAAUCAUCGAAUCUUUGAACGCACAUUGCGCCUUCUAGUAUUCUGGGAGGCAUGCCUGUUUGAGCGUCAUUAAACCUCUCUCAAGUAUGAAUACUUGGAUGUGAAGGAAGAGUACCUUAAACUUAAGGAGUGUUCUCCUUUGAAAUUGAUUAGCAGAUGGUAAUGUUAUUAAAUCCCUGAUGUUGUAAGAAAUAACAGUGGUUUUGUAGACUAUUAUCUAGCUUUAAAUUAUAAUUUUUAUUAUGGUUGACCUCAAAUCAGGUAAGGAUACCCGCUGAACUUAAGCAUAUCAAUAAGCGGAGGA